AGAGUUUGAUCAUGGCUCAGGACGAACGCUGGCGGCGUGCCUAAUACAUGCAAGUCGAGCGAAUGAGUAAGAAACUUUCGGGUUUCUUACGAUUUAGCGGCGGACGGGUGAGUAACACGUAGGCAACCUACCUGCAAGACGGGGAUAACUUGCGGAAACGUGAGCUAAUACCGGAUAGGCAACUUCCUCGCAUGAGGAAG
rnacentral:rRNA from 1 species